rnacentral:rRNA from 1 species
UACGGGGGGGGCAAGCGUUGUCCGGAAUUAUUGGGCGUAAAGAGCUCGUAGGCGGUUUGUCGCGUCUGCUGUGAAAUCCCGAGGCUCAACCUCGGGCUUGCAGUGGGUACGGGCAGACUAGAGUGCGGUAGGGGAGAUUGGAAUUCCUGGUGUAGCGGUGGAAUGCGCAGAUAUCAGGAGGAACACCGAUGGCGAAGGCAGAUCUCUGGGCCGUAACUGACGCUGAGGAGCGAAAGCGUGGGGAGCGAACAGG